rnacentral:lncRNA from 1 species
CUCUCCUCUCUGCUCCCCCAUCACCAGGUCUCUCCUCUCUGCUCGCUCAUAGUCAGGUCUCUCCUCUCCGCUCCCCCAUCACCAGGUCUCUCCUCUCCCCCAUCACCAGGUCUCUCCUCUCCGCUCCCCAUCAUCAGGUCUCUCCUCUCCGCUCCCCAUCAUCAGGUCUCUCCUCCGCUCCCCCAUCACCAGGUCUCUCCUCCGCUCCCCCAUCACCAGGUCUCUCCUCUCCCCCAUCACCAGGUCUCUCCGCCGCUCCCCCAUCACCAGGUCUCUCCUCUCCACCAUCACCAGGUCUCUCCUCCGCUCCCCAUCAUCAGGUCUCUCCUCUCUGCUCCCCCAUCACCAGGUCUCUCCUCCGCUCCCCCAUCAUCAGGUCUCUCCUCUCCCCCAUCACCAGGUCUCUCCGCUCCACCAUCACCAGGUCUCUCCUCUCCGCUCCCCCAUCACCAGGUCUCUCCUCUCCACCAUCACCAGGUCUCUCCUCUCCCCCAUCAUCAGGUCUCUCCUCUCCGCUCCCCCAUCAUCAGGUCUCUCCUCUCUGCUCCCCCAUCACCAGGUCUCUCCUCCGCUCCCCCAUCA